rnacentral:tRNA from 1 species
GACCCCGUAGCUCAGCAGGAUAGAGCGGCAGAUUCCUAAUCUGUAGGCCGGACGUUCGAAUCGUCUCGGGGUCACCA